UCCUCAUAAAGCACAAUUAAGUGUUUGUUCAUUCGCUUGUUUACCAGAGCUUCUUCCCAUCAGACCAUGGAAUUGCUGUGCUUUGGACCGCUUGAUGAGGUCUGCCAGCCGGAUGCUUAUUCCUCUCUCUAUUCUCCACGGUCCAGAUCUCCCCGUCGUCCUCUUCGCUGGACAGCGGACUCCCCAGCGCGCCGAAAACCUGCACGAACACGACCACCAGCAGCACAACCACGAACUUCAGAGCCUCCAUCGUUCACCUAAGAUUCGCCAAAAUAAAAGUGGCCGCAGAUGGUCAAGAAAAACUUCCCCGAUUUGGACGCAUACAGGAGCCAAGUAACUUCAAACCAAAGCAGUGUGUGUUUUCUUGUUGCUCCUGAGUGAAGGUCUCCCUUGACUCUUAUAAACCCCCACCCCCACCCCACCGCUUGCUCCUCCCCACUCCCACUCCCUUCAGCCUCAUAUUAAACGGAAUAUAUCCUGCACUCCAGAUGUUUUUUUUUUCUUCCUUUGUCUGACUCAGAGGUGAUGUGCAUGAGCAAACUUUAUCUUAUCAAACGCCAACUGACCACAAACUGUGAAGGAUGGAUGUGCUGAUUUGUUUGUUUCUGGUACUCACCUGUGAUUUGUCUUAAGCCCACAUUAUGGAUUGAUGAGGUCAUCAGGCAGCAAAUAUAUGGUGUAAAUGAACAGAGUGGAGCAUGAAAGCUGAUGUAUGUAUGACACUCCUGUUUCCGUUUGAGUCAUCAGGUCAAUGAACAACAAGGAAGGAAGACAAGAAGGGGCCACAGGCAAAGACUGGACACACUUUAUUUUAAAGGUUUAAAGCAGCAAUAUGCCAAACCAAAUCACUACUGAAACCGUCACGGUUAUAUUUUCAAUUCCAGGUCUGCCUUCAAACCAGAAUCAGAUUGCAAUCAUGUUUUGUGUCAUCUUUAUGGUUUGUGUCACCUUCUCCAGGUGCUAUUUGAUUUUCAGCUGUGAUGUAUUCAUGCUUUGUUUGUAUGACUCUGCAGAUGGGUGUCACAGUAGCAUGAAGGAUUUAUGCUUUAAAUAAUCACAGCAGCAACAGCCUUUGAACAGAAUCCAUCUCUCAGGCCCAGCUGAUUCUGAUGCAGUAUCGAGAUGAAACAGAGGAAAAGAUCUGACUUUGAAAGACGGUUCAUUGGUGGAUGGCAGGCGCUUCAUUCACAAAGAUGCUCAACUGGCUCAUGUUUCAAUACGAGAAGUGACAAGAGUGACGUCUGCAUUUAGAUCUAUGGGAGAGACGUCAGUAAAUACGUUCAGACAUUGUGGUUGACAGUGCACAUUAGUGGGAUAUGAAAGGAAAAACAGAAGAACAACUCUCCUCAGGUGACUAAGAACGUAAGUGAAGGUCAUGAUCGGACUGUGUCAGCAACAACAGUCCGUCAACAGUAACAUAGAGAGGGAUGUUACAGUAGGGCUGCAGUGAGUAAACCCCUCAUUACAAAGAGGAAUAUAUUUGAAAGUUCAGUGGUGCAAAAACCAUCUGCAGUGGUCUGCAGAGAAAGAAGUGAUAUGGUCUGAUGACUCAUCCUUCCCCAUAUUCUCCACGAGAGGGCAAAUACAUGUGUAAUGUACAUAAAGAGAAUUAUGCAGGUCUGAAUGCUUGACCCCUACAGUGAAGUGAUCUGGUGACAUGGUUUCAGCCCACUUGUCUAAAACCUUUAUCCUAUAAUGAAACACUUCUAUCCUGAUGGGAGUGGUCUCUUUCAAGAUGAUAAAACACACCGCCCAACUGGUAUGCUGCUGUUUGCCGCCAAGAGACGCAGACUGACAGAAAAUGAAUGACUUCUGGUCACUUCUUGCCGCUUUCAGUCUGAAUGUACGGUCUGUAUGUUGAUGUUACCAUUUAGCUCAAAUCACUGUGUGCAGCUUCAUAGAACCACCACGUUAGAGUCCUUUUUAAAUGUCAACAGAAAUGCAAUUUGACAGAUGGAUGCUGCAAUCACAAAAGAGGAGAGGCAGAACUUUUUUUUUCUUUUACUUUUUCAUCAGCAUCUUUGCAAGAACUGGUGGAUUCAACUGGUGCCAUAAACAAACUACUUCCCCACACUCCGGCUAAUCUGUCUACACAAACAGCUGCCCAGGGAUCAGCCGCUCUGACUCUUAACCGUUAUGAUCACAGUUUUUUCCUUUAGUGAAACACCUGCACUGUCCUGAAUACCAGAGACCACCUGCCUUGACGUGACGCUGGACUGUUGCAUGGUUCACUGAUCAAAAUCACCAAGUCAUUACCUCAGUUAUGUUUAACUGCUCUACCAUGAUAAUUAUGUAAGUGACAUAGUUGUUGAAAUGAAUGUUCAUGUUCAAAAUGACAUCAAGCAGUUCAGAGCACGGUUUGAGGAUCAAUGCUGGGAUUCAGUUCAAUUUAUACAGUGUGUCUAUCUGUACGAGUAUCACAGAACAUUUCUCUGACUGGGGAUAUAUUACGCUGAAGUCACUGGACGUUUAGAAUUACAGUUGUUGUGCAAUUUCAUUAACAGCAGGAUGGAAAAACUUAGUGUCCUUGCCUCCUUUUCUGUGAUUGGUCAGUUUGUGAACAAUAAAGAAAGAAAUUCAUCCAUUUUAAAUGCCACAGUUUUAAUCAGAUAUGAAAAAGAAUUAACUAAACAUAAUUUCACAUUAGAAAGAAUGCAUAGCUUUGCCAAAAGCAGUGUAACCCUCAGCAUUUUUAUUAUAUCUUAAAGCAACUAUGAGCACAAUUUGAAAAUGUCAGUGGCAAGAAAAGGCAUGUGAACCCUUUGACCUGAUUUUCUGCAGUAGUUGGUCAUAAAACAUGUUCUGAUCUUCAUUUAAGUCACAAGUAUAGACAAACACAAUGUGCUUAAGUCAA